rnacentral:rRNA from 1 species
GAUGAACGCUGGCGGCGUGCCUAAUACAUGCAAGUCGAGCGAACAGACCAGGAGCUUGCUCCUCUUACGUUAGCGGCGGACGGGUGAGUAACACGUGGAUCACCUCCCUAUAAGACUGGGAUAACUUCGGGAAACCGGAGCUAAUACCGGAUAAUAUAUUGAACCGCAUGGCUCAAUAGUGAAAGACGGUUUUGCUGUCACUUAUAGAUGGAUCCGCGCCGCAUUAGCUAGUUGGUAAGGUAACGGCUUACCAAGGCAACGAUGCGUAGCCGACCUGAGAGGGUGAUCGGCCACACUGGAACUGAGACACGGUCCAGACUCCUACGGGAGGCAGCAGUAGGGAAUCUUCCGCAAUGAGCGAAAGCUUGACGGAGCAACGCCGCGUGAGUGAUGAAGGUCUUCGGAUCGUAAAACUCUGUUAUUAGGGAAGAACAAAUGUGUAAGUAACUGUGCACGUCUUGACGGUACCUAAUCAGAAAGCCACGGCUAGCUACGUG